rnacentral:misc_RNA from 1 species
AUUUAUAUAUAGUCAAAUUUUUUAAUUGUAUAAUAGAAAGUUACAAUAUUAAGCAUUAUGUAUUCUAUAAUCAUAAAUAACAAUUUAUAUUUCAUAUUAAGAUUGACAAAUUUUAUUGAAAUGUUUACAAAAUUUAAAAACAUUGUUUAAUCUUGUAAAAUAAGGUAUUAUAACACAUAUUACAUAGAAUUCUGACUAUAUAAUACCUUGUAAAAUAAGGUAUUAUAACACAUAUCACGUAGAAUAAGGUAUUAUAACACAUAUCAUGUAGAGUAGAAGAAUUUAUCACAUAGUCUAUAUUUUCUCUAUAAUAAAAGUUCAUUGAUUAACAUCAAAAGUUCAAAAUAAUACAAAAUAAUGCUACAGAGAUUAUACCGACUUACAAAUUGCAACAGAAUUCUUCAAAGAGCUGUUCUACGUAAAAAAAUUUACUCAACAUGUAAGAGUGAAAGUAAUAUACAAAUUGCCAGAAGGGUAACAAUAAUGUCGCCAUUUACUAUAAUGGGAAUAUGGGGAAUUGUAGAAAACAAAAAUCAAAAUGAAGAUAAAACCCAAAUUGCAAUGAAGGAACUUCUUGCUAAAGCAGAUAGGUGUUAUAACACCUUAUUUUACAACGCUAUCACAAAACUGGGUUGGAUGGAACCUACAUUAAUACAAGAAAAAGCGAUACCUUUAUUGCUGGAAGGAAAGGAUCUUUUAAUCAAAGCUCGUACAGGUUCAGGCAAAACUGCUGCCUUUACAAUACCGCUUAUUCAGAAAAUAUUAUUAAAUAAACGGAUACAAAAAAAGCAAGAGAUUAAAAGUUUGAUUAUUGCAUCUAGUAAGGAGCUGUGCAAGCAAAUUCAUGAUGUCAUCUUGAGCUUGACGAUAAAAUGUUGUAGAGAAGUCAGAGCAAUUGAUCUUAGUUUAAAAACUGACUUAAAUGCACAGAAACUUUUACUUAGCGAAAUGCCAGAUAUUGUUGUAGUUACUCCAAAUCGAUUAUUACAGCAUUUAAAAGCGAAAAAUUUAGUCUUGAAACGUAGCCUUGAUACGUUAAUAAUUGAUGAAGCUGAUUUGUUAUUUUCAUUUGGUUACGAAAAAGACUUGAAAGCUAUAUUGACUUAUCUACCAAUGGCCUAUCAAGCAAUUUUGGCAUCUGCCACAUUAUCUGAAGAUGUUCAAACUUUGAAGAAAUUAAUUCUACACAAUCCUGCAAUUUUAAAGUUGGAGGAACCACCAUUAGCGCCUCCCACACAAUUAACUCAUUACACUUUAGCUGCAGAGGAAAAUGAUAAAGCUGCUAUUUUGUACGCCUUAUUGAAGUUACAUUUAAUUAGGGGAAAGUCUAUAAUUUUUGUACAUACUGUAGACAGAUGCUACAAGUUGAAAUUGUUCUUAGAGCAGUUUGGUAUUCCAACUUGUGUUUUAAAUUCUGAACUACCAGUAACCUCGAGAUGUAGAGCGAUCUGCCAGUUCAACAGUGGAAUUUAUGACAUUAUAAUAGCAUCGGAUGAAAAAGUGUUAGAAGAGCCGCAUGUGGUAAAAAUGAAAAAAAGCAAACGCAAGCAAGACAAAGAAUCGGGUGUAGCGCGUGGCAUCGAUUUCCAAUUCGUAUCCAACGUAAUCAACUUUGAUUUUCCAUUAAAUUUAAACUCUUACGUACACAGAGUGGGGCGCACUGCUCGCGGAAAGAACCAGGGAACAGCUCUUAGUUUUGUAGCUAUCAGGGAAAGACCAUUGAUGGAAGAAGUGGAACAAAAAUUGACACAUACUUAUAAUUGUGAAAAUCUGUUUAAAACUUACCAAUUUAAAUUGGAGGAAGUGGAAGGAUUUCGCUAGAAAUGGGAGAGGAGAGCGGAUUUUGAUCGUGCCCCAAAUAUUUACACUAAGAUAUCGUGCAAAAGAUGCUUGGAAGGCCGUUACAAGAAUUGCUGUUCGAGAAGCGCGAUUAAAAGAAAUUAAACAGGAAGUUAUAAAUUGCGAAAAGCUGAAAA